rnacentral:rRNA from 1 species
UAGGGCACUGGAAGGUCCCUAAACCGAAAGGGGCUCUGCCCGCCCGAGGAUGGGCCGGCGGCCGAUUAGGUAGUUGGUGGGGUAACGGCCCACCAAGCCCAUAAUCGGUACGGGCAGUGAGAGCUGGAGCCCGGAGAUGGACACUGAGACACGGGUCCAGGCCCUACGGGGCGCAGCAGGCGCGAAACCUCCGCAAUGCUCGAAAGAGCGACGGGGGGACCCCAAGUGCCGUGGUACAACCACGGCUUUUCCGGAGUGUAAGAAGCUCCGGGAAUAAGGGCUGGGCAAGGCCGGUGGCAGCCGCCGCGGUAAUACCGGCGGCCCGAGUGGUGGCCACUAUUAUUGGGCCUAAAGCGUCCGUAGCCGGGCUUGUAAGUCCCUGGCGAAAUCCCACGGCUCAACCGUGGGGCUUGCUGGGGAUACUGCAAGCCUUGGGACCGGGAGAGGCCGGGGGUACUCCUGGGGUAGGGGUGAAAUCCUAUAAUCCCAGGAGGACCGCCAGUGGCGAAGGCGCCCGGCUGGAACGGGUCCGACGGUGAGGGACGAAGGCCAGGGGAGCAAACCGGAUUAGAUACCCGGGUAGUCCUGGCUGUAAAGGAUGCGGGCUAGGUGUUGCUUGGACCUCGAGUCCAAGCAGUGCCGCAGGGAAGCC